UACGGAGGGAGCUAGCGUUGUUCGGAAUUACUGGGCGUAAAGCGCGCGUAGGCGGUUACUCAAGUCAGAGGUGAAAGCCCGGGGCUCAACCCCGGAACUGCCUUUGAAACUAGGUAACUAGAAUCUUGGAGAGGUCAGUGGAAUUCCGAGUGUAGAGGUGAAAUUCGUAGAUAUUCGGAAGAACACCAGUGGCGAAGGCGACUGACUGGACAAGUAUUGACGCUGAGGUGCGAAAGCGUGGGGAGCAAACAGGG
rnacentral:rRNA from 1 species